rnacentral:sRNA from 1 species
AUAUCCCUCUGUACGGGAAGGAUGAGAAGCUUCGACUAAGGUUCGAUUCGAGCGAAAGCGAGAAAGCGUUGCCGCAGGCAACGACCCGAAGGGCGAAGCGCGCAGCGCUGAGUCAUCCUUCCCCCACCACCA